CCCAGCUGCUGCAAAUAGUAACGAAGGCUGGCACUUUCAGAGCGCUCACUAUGUGUUAGGCACUUCGCAAGCAUCGCGUUUUGUUACCUCCAUCAAGCUCUGAAGCAGGCGCCACAGUUACCUCCAUUCAGAGACAAGGAAUCUGAGGCUCUGAGAUGCCAAGCGACUCGCUCAAGGUCACACAACUACUGAAUGUUAGCUCUCUCUGCUACACACUCAGAAGGAAGCGAACCUUCUGCCACAACUGUCUUGUAAGACUGCAGCCCAGCGCUACAGGCCGACCUACCUUCCUGGCUUCUAUGUCCUGGAGAAAACCCCAAGGAGGACAGAACCCUCAACCAUCAUUUACAAGGCCCAACAUGACCGCCAGUCCUGAGUCAGCGUGACUCACAACUCCAGGGCCCACCACCAAAGCAGCAGAGUGUCAGGGCCUUGGGAGUACUUGGCUGGCUCAGCCUCGGUGACUGCUGGUUCUCCCAGGCUAGGCUUUCAGCCCUUGCCCAUCACCUGGAACAUGUACAGCAUGUCAGCUGGUACAAACAGGGUAGCAGGGGUUGUUGGCAGAGGAAUUCCAAGGAGGGGUGUAGUUAGGGAAAACUGUGAAAGAUGCUGAAAUUUAGUGCUUGUCCUGAAUAACUUACCUACCUAGAUUCUUUCUGCCUUUUGUGGUCUUUGACUGACAUUUCUCAGCUCCAAAGAUAGAAAUGAAGUUGUAAAACCUUGAUAGUAAUGCAAAUAAUUCCUGUCCACAGUAAUACAGACUGUGUCUAGUGGAAGACAACUGACUAUUGCCUUGUGGAUACUGGCCAAUUUUGCAUCUAUUCUGAAAUGAUUUCAGCAUUCUUUACCUGACUAUCAUGUGAUACUUGGAGUUCUCCUUUGAACUGGCUGUAAUGUUUUAGUAAUUCUCUCAUUAAUUAAUGAGUUAAACUAAAUCUUUGACACAUGUUAAUUUUAUAUCUUGGGACAGACAUGAUUAUAUCCUCUUUUAAAAUUUAUUGUUAAAUAUAGACAAAGCUUGUAUGAUCACAUACUAACUUCAGAAAUAUUAGCGAUGCAGAGGAAAAAAUUUAGGAAACGCAAGAAACUGUUAGUGUUCACCCGUGGGGAAAAGGGAGGGAGGAGCACUUACUUUUCAUUUUCUAUUUUGUUGUGCUAUUUUAACUUUUAAACUGUUUUAAAAGAAUUUCAGUGGAGGUUGACUAGGCAAAGGGUCAUCUGUUUAUUUUAUACUCUUCUCUAUAAAAAAUAAUAACUAACUUUAUAAUUAUAUGUUAAGCCAUACAUAUGGUUGUUUGGACUUUUCUGAUUGUAUGCUAUAUUUUAAAAUUAAAAAAAAAAAAAAGCUGAUACCUAUUA